GACGAACGCUGGCGGCGUGCUUAACACAUGCAAGUCGAACGGAACGGCCCUGCUUUUGUGGGGUGCUCGAGUGGCGAACGGGUAACUAACACGUAAGUAACCUGCCCUUCACUUUGGGAUAACUUCAGAAAACUGGGGCUAAUACCGGAUAGGAGCUCCUGCUGCUUGGUGGGGGUUGGAUGGUUUCGGCGGUUGGGGAUGGACUCGCGUCUCAUGAGCUUGAUGGUUGGGUAGUGGAUUACCAAGGCUUUGACCGGUGGCCGGCCUGAGCGGGUGACCGGCCACAUUGGGACUGAGAUACGGCACAGACUCCUACGGGAGGCAGCGGUGGGGAAUAGUGCACUAUGGGCGGAAGCCUGAUGCAGCAACGCCGCGUGCGGGAUGACGGCCUUCGGGUUGUAAUGCGCUUCCGCCUGUGACGAAGCGUUAGUGACGGUAAUGGGUAAAGAAGCACCGGCUAACUACGUG
rnacentral:rRNA from 1 species